rnacentral:rRNA from 1 species
ACUCCUACGGGAGGCAGCAGUGAGGAAUAUUGGUCAAUGGGCGAAAGCCUGAACCAGCCAUGUCGCGUGCAGGACGACUGCCCUAUGGGGUUGUAAACUGCUUUUUAUAUGGGAAGAAAUGCGAGUACGUGUACUUGUUUGCCGGUACCAUAUGAAUAAGCAUCGGCUAACUCCGUGCCAGCAGCCGCGGUAAUACGGAGGAUGCGAGCGUUAUCCGGAUUCAUUGGGUUUAAAGGGUGCGUAGGCGGAAGUGUAAGUCAGGGGUGAAAGUUUGCAGCUCAACUGUAAAAUUGCCUUUGAUACUGCAUUUCUUGAGUACAUUUGAGGUAGGCGGAAUGUGUUGUGUAGCGGUGAAAUGCUUAGAUAUAACACAGAACACCGAUUGCGAAGGCAGCUUACUAAACUGUAACUGACGCUGAUGCACGAAAGCGUGGGGAUCGAACAGGAUUAGAUACCCCGUGGUAGCGACUGA